GCCCGAGUAGCUCAGCCUGGAUAGAGCGACGCCCUCCUAAGGCGUAGGUCGCAGGUUCAAAUCCUGUCUCGGGCA
rnacentral:tRNA from 1 species